rnacentral:rRNA from 1 species
AUGAACGCUGGCGGCGUGCCUCAUACAUGCCAGUCUAGCGAACGGACGAGAAGCUUGCUUCUCUGAUGUUAGCGGCGGACGGGUGAGUAACACGUGGAUAACCUACCUAUAAGACUGGGAUAACUUCGGGAAACCGGAGCUAAUACCGGAUAAUAUUUUGAACCGCAUGGUUCAAAAGUGAAAGACGGUCUUGCUGUCACUUAUAGAUGGAUCCGCGCUGCAUUAGCUAGUUGGUAAGGUAACGGCUUACCAAGGCAACGAUGCAUAGCCGACCUGAGAGGGUGAUCGGCCACACUGGAACUGAGACACGGUCCAGACUCCUACGGGAGGCAGCAGUAGGGAAUCUUCCGCAAUGGGCGAAAGCCUGACGGAGCAACGCCGCGUGAGUGAUGAAGGUCUUCGGAUCGUAAAACUCUGUUAUUAGGGAAGAACAUAUGUGUAAGUAACUGUGCACAUCUUGACGGUACCUAAUCAGAAAGCCACGGCUAACUACGUG